GAAGUCCAGAAGCCUUCGAACCAGGAUGAGGCCCAGGAUCUGUGAUGGGAAGACACAGCAAGCUAAGUUCAGCUAUUCUGCAUGGUGAGAAGAAUUACAUUUCAUAUGCAUCUCCUUCUGAGACAGAGCCAGGUCAUCAGUGGCGAGAAGGCAAAGGGGGUGGAAGAUGAAGCUAGCCCACUGGGCCUCCCAGAAGACUCCUGUCCACACCACCCUGCUGAACAGGAGGGGAGGCCCAUCCCCGCCUUACCAUGACU